AUAUAUAUAUAUAUAUAUAUAUAUAUGUAUAUAUAUAUAUAUAUAUGUGUGUGUGUGUGUGUGUGUGUGUGUGUGUGUGUGUGUGUGUGUGUGAGGCAGUAAAAUAACUCAAUGUUCCUGCAGCCAAGUGACAGGCAGUUUUCUGAUCCUCGUCACUAAAAUGCCACCUUGUAGAUGCUUACCUCCCCUGAACAAAAAGUUUAAAGUAUUGACAGGAGCAUUUGCUACAUCAUGUAGAAAACAGGCAAACAAAAAACUGGAAGCUUUGGUAGGGCAGUCGCUCAGAUGGGCGAAUUGUCUUCAAGCAGAAGAGCAGACAUUCUAACAUUCAUGGAAGAAGCUGGAUCGUAAUUAUUAUUAAGAUGUUUUUAAUAUCUUAGCAUUCGUGCACAUUUACUGCAUGGCUUUGCAUAAAUCUGAUCAGCACGUGGCUAUCAGCAUCACUUUUGAUCAUUAAAAGAAGCACAGAAUUAAAGGGGGGGAUUAUCAGCUAAACAUGUGAAUGUUUCUCUUAGCACAAGUCUCUCAAGAUCAAUAGGAAAGUUGCUAUACAAGACAUAAGAAAUGUAAUCCCUCCCCAUCCUGCAAAAAUAAACUUUCCCUCCCUUGCCCAGCCCCGUUACAGUACCUAGCUUGGUCUUGAUGGACCAGUAGUAUCAUCGCAUUUUGGCAUGCAUAAUGUCAGCAUGUCCUGCCUCUUUUUGCAUUCAAAGAGAUUUUUUUUGUCAUGCUUUUGUUAGUGCAUAUGCAUGUGCCAAAACACACACACACACUCAAUCACACACACACACACACACACACACACACACACACACACACACACACACACACACACACACACACACACACGUGCAGUUGAUAUCUGAUCAGCUCAAGAAUAAAAUCUUACCACACACCCUCACAUUAUUUUCAUACCAGAGUCCUUAUUGCUUGCAAUGGAAAUCCGUGCAGUUAACUACAAUACACAUUUUACAUAUUAUCUACAUAACCGUGACGUAAGUGGCACACUUUAUCAAGAAGUGGCGAAAGGAGGUUGAGGUGAGAAACUGGGGAAACAGGUCUCAAUGUGUGUGUGUGCGUGUGUGUGUGUGCGUGUGUGUGUAUGUGUGUGCAGUGUCCAUGCCACAUACAGUGAGCUACAUAUUUGUCAGGAACCCCCAAAAGAAAAUAAAGAAAUACAUCAACGAAUGAAUACAUCUAAAUCGUAGAUCCCUCUUGGAAAAUGGAAGCUUUUGCCUAACAUGCCCAUGUUGUACAAUGAACCCCAAACCCUGCAGGACCAACUCCCAUUUCAAUCAGUCCACAUUAAAGCUGCCUUAAAUUGACUGAAUCGUGGCCCAGUCGCACUGACAUCGUUAUGUAGGUCAGCAUUUGUGCCGGAACAAAACCUUGGCAUGUACAGUACAUCGGCUAUCCACUUUAAAGAACGCGCCACAAUUUUCAGUAAAAAAGUCCCACUUUGCUGUUAUUUGCCGCAAAAUGAGAAAUCAAUCUGAAGCUGCUAUGCAACAACGAGAGCCGGGGACCUAUUUUGUACAGUAAGUUAUGCUGACAGAAAAUGCAAGACUGACACUAAAAAGUUCUGAAACACUUUGCUCUCUACAUUUGUCUUAUUGGUGCACAAUCAGGGGCAAAUCAAUCAUGGGCAAGAAAGCUCUUCUAAUGUUUGGCUCGACUUUAAGCACUUAAGACCGAUAUUGAUCUCCUUUCCCCUCCACUCCAUCUUGCCCAGAAUGAAAAUAAGCACAUUUGAUCAAAUAUCACUCAGUUUCCUGUAAAAAAAAAAAGUAAAAUUUUCCUGUCAGGCAAGCUUCUAAACAACACCAAUUGUAAAAGUAUAAAAACAAUAUAACAGAAAAGAAUACUUUUUACGAGGAUCAGUUUUGUCACAUAAGUUAUUGACAAAAAGAUGCUUCAUUAGGCAAAGAAUAAAUACAAACUUUGCUCAGUAUUCCUUCCUCUUAUCAUAAAGGUUGACAUUUGCGCAUCUGUGUAGAGGUAGAUGCACAUGCACAUGUGAACACACACCCACACACCCACACACGCAAACACCCAUCCAUGUGCACACUCGUUGCAUCAGAACACAACUUCACAGAUCCCACAGCACAGUCUCCUUUAUCUCCUUUGCAUAUUUGGACGUUGAAUGCUGUCUCUUUUUUUCCCCCACAAGUUCCUCCCAUGUGGCUUGUUGCUUAUGUCCGUUUGCUCCUCUACCAAGGGCUGUCGCUCCAAUAGCCGUUUACGGUGCCUCCUACUGAAUUGCCACAGCCGAGACAAGAGAUGGAUCGCCAGAAGAGGAGGGAGGUGGGGGUGGGGGGUGGGGGGUGAGUUCAUGAUGGUUACAACAGGGAAAGAAAGAGAAGCCAAAAAAGGGUGUAAACUCAAAAUAUUGCCAUUUCCAGCCAAAUCACACUGGAGUCAGCGCAACGUUGUAUCGCUGUUGGUGGUGAUGGGCAAUGAGAUGAAAUUCUCGUAUCCAGGCUGAGCUGCAGAGUUACUACGCUUGUCACGGCAUGUGGAGCCAAAUGUUGAAUAAUUGCUCCUGUAUUGUUUGUACAUGCAGCGCCUCACCCCUCCCCCACUCCCCACAACUCACCGCUUUUUUUAA